GACGUGCGCGCCUCGCCGCACAGAGAUUUCGAUAUAGACUCCUACAUGAAGUUUUGAUAAUCCUUUGAUCAAAACGUUCAGAGUUUUGACUGUUAUUUUUACGCAGUUGUCAGUGUAUCUCCAUCAGAGAGGCUUGUCGCGUAAUAGCAAGCAGAUAUCGAGAAAAGCACGGCCAGAUAGAGAGAAGAAUUAUUAUUUGGAAAAUAUCUUGUUACUAAGAAUUUAUUAGAAUGAUUCUUUUAGUCACAGGAACCCAUGUUGUAAAGCAAUGACUCAAGAAAUGACCAGACUACCUGAUAACUCAUUACGGUACAAGAGUGUUUUGAUUUUCCUGUGCAGUUUCAAAUUCUCUUUUUUUGGAUAUAAUUCUAUUCCCCCCACAUGAGUCUCCAUUGCAGGCUAACCGAGAAUACGAAUUGGCCUAUUCACACUGAACCUCCAUGGUAAUUAACUCUCUUUAACGAAGAUGGAAUGACAAGUCUUCUUCGAACAAAAAGCCUUCUUUGCUAUAUUCUGAAAGGUUGUAUCCCUUUUUGCCUUGCUCUGGAUCCCGAAAACACGACGUUUUUGGUAACGAAGAUCCGCAAAGAAAUGUUCUUCUCUUUAGUUCAAACUGCGGUGGAUUUCGUUUAAUCAGCUGUUGAUGCCAACCAAUGAUUACUUACAUAUAAUUUAACCUCAUCUAACCUGUGUUUAAAUUUUUACGUUAAAUCUCAUAUUUUUAUUGCAGUUUUAAUUGUUUAGCUGUUAGUAUUUGUUUGUUAUUCACUUCGUCACAGCUGUGAAAAAUUAGUUGAUAAUACAUGAUCAGCCUACAGUGCUGUGACCAUCCGUAAAAUAUUCGCCAGACUACGGAUUAGCGACAACUUCAACUGAGCAAUUAUGAAGAUAUUUCUUGUUUUUUGUGCUGUUUUCUUCUGUUGGACCAUUGUCGACUCGGAAGCCAGCGUCGCCGUACCGCCAGACCCAGCCAAUGGAAACGUAUUCUGCAUUGAUUUUGGGUGGGACAAAAUAUGCCAGGUUAAUUGUGAAAAAGGAUUCCAACCAGAGAGAGAACAUGCUCCGUACUACGAAUACAACGCAGUGACAAGGGAGUGGGACUCAAGAGGGAAGGAGUUUCCUUGGUCCGACUGCGUGCGCGUGUAGACUUCCAAAUAAAAGCCAGGUUAUGAAGAUUUCCUUCUUUGAAUCAGUUUGGGAAACCUGAUAACUGGUGGAAACGAUGCGAGGACAUGCAGACUGAAAAAGAAUAUUGAGCAUUAAGAAAAAGAAUUAACUCUGUAAGCCGUAGAUAAUAAAAGAAGGGGUAAUGAGUGUUCUGGUCUUUUUGCUUCCGUCACGGUAGCGUGAAAGAUCUGAGGCACUGUCGACACUAUGCCAGAGGAAUUUGAAAACGGAGGUUUUACUCUGA